UACGGAGGGGGCGAGCGUUAUUCGGAAUUAUUGGGCGUAAAGGGCGCGUAGGCGGCUGAACAAGUCAAAGGUGAAAUCCCUCGGCUCAACUGAGGAACUGCCUUUGAAACUGUUCGGCUUGAGGCCGGGAGGGGGUAGCGGAAUUCCCAGUGUAGCGGUGAAAUGCGUAGAUAUUGGGAGGAACACCAGUGGCGAAGGCGGCAUCCUGGACCAAUUCUGACGCUGAGGAGCGAAAGCCAGGGGAGCAAACGGG
rnacentral:rRNA from 1 species